AGCGAACGCUGGCGGCGUACUUAACACAUGCAGGUCGAACGGGGAUCGACACGUGAGCAAUCACGUGGCGGUCUUAGUGGCGUACGGGUGAGUAACACGUGGGCAACCUGCCCUUGAGUCUGGGAUAACCUCCCGAAAGGGAGGCUAAUACCGGAUACGGUCCUCGGGUCGCGAGAUCUGAGGAAGAAAGGUGGCGCAAGCUACCGCUCUUGGAGGGACUCGCGGCCUAUCAGCAGUUGGUGAGGUAACGGCUCACCAAGGCUAUGACGGGUAGCUGGUCUGAGAGGACGACCAGCCACACGGGGACUGAGACACGGCCCCGACUCCUACGGGAGGCAGCAGUGGGGAAUUUUCCGCAAUGGGCGAAAGCCUGACGGAGUGACGCCGCGUGGGGGACGAAGGCCUGGGUUGUAAACCCCUGUCAGAGGAAAGAAGGAUGCCGCGUGAUAACCGCCGACAUUUGACGGUACCUUCAGAGGAAG
rnacentral:rRNA from 1 species